CUCCUGGGCAUUACAGUAACUUCAUUGACUUCAGUUCAAUUACUUACAAUUUAUACACAUGUGACUGAGAAGAGACUCAGGCCCCUAGUGUUUUGACUGCUGCUGGAAGGAUCACAGAAUAGCAGACAUUGGAGUGCAGUGAGCAUUGAUCAAGAGUGGUGGGAGAGACAGACUCCAGAGAAGAUUUAUAUGAUGCUGAUCUGUCCAUGGAAGCAGCAGUGGGAGGAGUGUGAGCACAGCAGUUGGCAGUCCAUGGUGCUGACACGGAGAAGAAACCAAGAACAGAAGAUUUUACUUUUUAAGCCUGCAAAUGGAUUUUGGACUGGAACCAUCAGCAUAUUUGCAUUUUUAUUUAUUUUUUUAUUUGCUUUUUUUGGUUAAAGCAAAGCAGAUGUAAGACCCAGCUUUCAAUAAAAAUAAAAUCUCAUUUACAAA